rnacentral:rRNA from 1 species
GACGAACGCUGGCGGCGUGCUUAACACAUGCAAGUCGAGCGGUAAGGCCUUUCGGGGUACACGAGCGGCGAACGGGUGAGUAACACGUGGGUGAUCUGCCCUGCACUUCGGGAUAAGCCUGGGAAACUGGGUCUAAUACCGGAUAUGACCUCCUAUCGCAUGGUGGGUGGUGGAAAGAUUUAUCGGUGCAGGGUGGGCCCGCGGCCUAUCAGCUUGUUGGUGGGGUAAUGGCCUACCAAGGCGACGACGGGUAGCCGACCUGAGAGGGUGACCGGCCACACUGGGACUGAGACACGGCCCAGACUCCUACGGGAGGCAGCAGUGGGGAAUAUUGCACAAUGGGCGAAAGCCUGAUGCAGCGACGCCGCGUGAGGGAUGACGGCCUUCGGGUUGUAAACCUCUUUCAGCAGGGACGAAGCGCAAGUGACGGUACCUGCAGAAGAAGCACCGGCUAACUACGUG